rnacentral:rRNA from 1 species
AUACGGAGGGUGCAAGCGUUGUCCGGAUUUAUUGGGUUUAAAGGGUGCGUAGGCGGCCAAUUAAGUCAGUGGUGAAAUGUAUCAGCUUAACUGAUGAUGUGCCAUUGAAACUGAUUGGCUUGAGUACAGACGAGGUAGGCGGAAUUUAUGGUGUAGCGGUGAAAUGCAUAGAUACCAUAAAGAACACCGAUAGCGAAGGCAGCUUACUAGACUGUUACUGACGCUGAGGCACGAAAGCGUGGGGAGCGAACAGGAUUAGAAACCCCGGUAGUCC